rnacentral:rRNA from 1 species
GAUUAAGUUAUUAAGGGCGCACGGUGGAUGCCUUGGCACUAGACGCCGAUGAAGGACGUUACUAACGACGAUAUGCUUUGGGUAGCUGUAAGUAAGCGUUGAUCCAGAGAUUUCCGAAUGGGGGAACCCA